rnacentral:rRNA from 1 species
UUCAUGACUGGGGUGAAGUCGUAACAAGGUAGCCCUAGGGGAACCUGGGGCUGGAUCACCUCCUUACCUAAAGA